rnacentral:rRNA from 1 species
AUACGGGGGGUGCAAGCGUUAAUCGGAAUUACUGGGCGUAAAGCGCGCGUAGGCGGUUUGCUCAGUCGGAUGUGAAAGCCCAGGGCUCAACCUUGGAACUGCAUACGAUACUGGCAAACUAGAGUGUGAGAGAGGAUAGUGGAAUUUCCGGUGUAGCGGUGAAAUGCGUAGAUAUCGGAAGGAACAUCAGUGGCGAAGGCGACUGUCUGGCUCAACACUGACGCUGAGGUGCGAAAGCGUGGGUAGCAAACAGGAUUAGAAACCCUAGUAGUCCC